GUGAAGUGUUCCCUCAGUUCACAUAGACCAGGCUUCCUCUUUAGAGGCAUAAGCUGUAAAACAGGAGAGUCUGUUUUAAGAGGAUCUGUUUGAAGUUUAAUGUAACUGAAGUCCAUGCACCUGAAGCCAUUAAUUGAUAUAAGUGAAGUAAGUCUUUGGGUUUCCGGUAGCUCUGACUCAGAUUCUGCUUGCCUCUUCUCCAUGAGAUUACCAAGGCAUCAGGGCAGAGACUCCCUGAGGAUGAGUGGAUCUGGUUCAGAACAUCUGUGAACACAGAGGGAGUGGAAACUUCACUUUCAACAUCAUCAGCCAACUUCCCUCCCAUUACAAUUCUAUCUCAAGAUCAAGGUCAUGCAACAAAACCAGCAGGUGUGAUUCUUUCUCUCCGAUCAACUCACUUUGUUUUUUCUAUUUUUAUGCUCUCUUGAGCACUGUAUAAU
rnacentral:lncRNA from 1 species